UACGAAGGGGGCUAGCGUUGUUCGGAAUCACUGGGCGUAAAGGGUGCGCAGGCGGGUUCAUAAGUCAGGGGUGAAAUCCCGAGGCUCAACCUCGGAACUGCCUUUGAUACUGUGGAUCUUGAGUCCGGAAGAGGUGAGUGGAACUGCGAGUGUAGAGGUGAAAUUCGUAGAUAUUCGCAAGAACACCGGUGGCGAAGGCGGCUCACUGGUCCGGAACUGACGCUGAGGCACGACAGCGUGGGGAGCAAACAGG
rnacentral:rRNA from 1 species